CUGGCUCAGAUUGAACGCUGGCGGCAGGCCUAACACAUGCAAGUCGAACGGUAACAGGAAGCAGCUUGCUUCUUUGCUGACGAGUGGCGGACGGGUGAGUAAUGUCUGGGAAACUGCCUGAUGGAGGGGGAUAACUACUGGAAACGGUAGCUAAUACCGCAUAACGUCGCAAGACCAAAGAGGGGGACCUUCGGGCCUCUUGCCAUCGGAUGUGCCCAGAUGGGAUUAGCUAGUAGGUGGGGUAACGGCUCACCUAGGCGACGAUCCCUAGCUGGUCUGAGAGGAUGACCAGCCACACUGGAACUGAGACACGGUCCAGACUCCUACGGGAGGCAGCAGUGGGGAAUAUUGCACAAUGGGCGCAAGCCUGAUGCAGCCAUGCCGCGUGUAUGAAGAAGGCCUUCGGGUUGUAAAGUACUUUCAGCGGGGAGGAAGGGAGUAAAGUUAAUACCUUUGCUCAUUGACGUUACCCGCAGAAGAAGCACCGGCUAACUCCGUGCCAGCAGCCGCGGUAAUACGGAGGGUGCAAGCGUUAAUCGGAAUUACUGGGCGUAAAGCGCACGCAGGCGGUUUGUUAAGUCAGAUGUGAAAUCCCCGGGCUCAACCUGGGAACUGCAUCUGAUACUGGCAAGCUUGAGUCUCGUAGAGGGGGGUAGAAUUCCAGGUGUAGCGGUGAAAUGCGUAGAGAUCUGGAGGAAUACCGGUGGCGAAGGCGGCCCCCU
rnacentral:rRNA from 1 species